rnacentral:rRNA from 1 species
CAAUAGCGUAUAUUAAAGUUGUUGCAGUUAAAAAGCUCGUAGUUGGAUUUCUGGUGGGAGCGAUCGGUCUGGCGCUUAGCGCGAGUACUUGCAUCGUCUCCGGCCAUCCUUGGGGAGAGUCUGUCUGGCAUUAGUUUGUCGGGCAGAGGAUCCUCAUCGUUUACUGUGAAAAAAUUAGAGUGUUCAAAGCAGGCUUAUGCCGUUGAAUAUAUUAGCAUGGAAUAAUAAGAUAGGACUUUGGUACUAUUUUGUUGGUUUGCGCACCAAAGUAAUGAUUAAUAGGGACAGUUGGGGGUAUUCGUAUUCCGUUGUCAGAGGUGAAAUUCUUGGAUUUACGGAAGACGAACUACUGCGAAAGCAUUUACCAAGGAUGUUUUCAUUAA